GGCACGGUGGUGCAGUGGGUAGCACUGCUGCCUCUCAGUUUGAUUGUUGGUUCAAAUUCAGCCUGGGACC